rnacentral:rRNA from 1 species
CGCGCAGGCGGGUGUAUAAGUCAGAUGUGAAAUCCCACGGCUUAACCGUGGACGUGCAUUUGAAACUGUAUACCUUGAGUAUGGUAGAGGAAAGUGGAAUUCCUGGUGUAGCGGUGAAAUGCGUAGAUAUCAGGAGGAAUAUCGGUGGCGAAGGCGACUUUCUGGGCCAAUACUGACGCUGAGGCGCGAAGGUGUGGGUAGCAAACAGGAUUAGAUACCCUGGUAGUCC